AACAACGCUGGCGGCGUGCCUAACACAUGCAAGUCGUACGAGAAAGUCGGCUUCGGCCGAUGAGUACAGUGGCGCACGGGUGAGUAGCGCGCGGGUAAUCCUGCCCCCCGGUCAGGAAUAACCCGCCGAAAGGCGGGCUAAUACCCGAUAACACUGACGCUCCGCGGAGCGUCUUUCAAAGAAGGCCUCUGUUUACAAGCUUUCGCCGGAGGAUGAGCCCGCGUACCAUUAGCUAGUUGGCAGGGUAAUGGCCUACCAAGGCUACGAUGGUUAGCUGGUCUGAGAGGAUGGCCAGCCACACUGGAACUGAGACACGGUCCAGACUCCUACGGGAGGCAGCAGUGAGGAAUCUUGCGCAAUGGGGGAAACCCUGACGCAGCAACGCCGCGUGAGUGAGGAAGGCCUUCGGGUCGUAAAGCUCUGUCAGAUGGGAAGAAAUGGAUGGGGGCUAAUAUCGCCCAUCCUUGACGGUACCAUCAGAGGAAGCACCGGCUAACUCCGUG
rnacentral:rRNA from 1 species